AUUGAACGCUGGCGGCAUGCCUUACACAUGCAAGUCGAACGGCAGCACGGGAGCAAUCCUGGUGGCGAGUGGCGAACGGGUGAGUAAUGUAUCGGAACGUGCCCAGUCGUGGGGGAUAACGUAGCGAAAGCUACGCUAAUACCGCAUACGAUCUAUGGAUGAAAGCGGGGGAUCGCAAGACCUCGCGCGAUUGGAGCGGGCGAUAUCAGAUUAGGGAGUUGGUGGGGUAAAGGCACACCAAGCCGACGAUCUGUAGCUGGUCUGAGAGGACGACCAGCCACACUGGGACUGAGACACGGCCCAGACUCCUACGGGAGGCAGCAGUGGGGAAUUUUGGACAAUGGGCGCAAGCCUGAUCCAGCAAUGCCGCGUGCAGGAUGAAGGCCUUCGGGUUGUAAACUGCUUUUGUACGGAGCGAAAAGGCUCUCUCUAAUACAGGGGGCUCAUGACGGUACCGUAAGAAUAAGCACCGGCUAACUACGUGCCAGCAGCCGCCGUAACAC
rnacentral:rRNA from 1 species